rnacentral:rRNA from 1 species
AAUAUUGCACAAUGGGCGAAAGCCUUAUGCAGCAACGCCGCGUUAGUGAUGAAGGCCUUCGGGUUGUAAAGCUCUGUCUUCUGGGACGAUAAUGACGGUACCUGAGGAGGAAGCCACGGCUAACUACGUGCCAGCGGCCGCGGUAAUACGUAGGUGGCAAGCGUUGUCCGGAUUUACUGGGCGUAAAGGGAGCGUAGGCGGACUUUUAAGUGAGAUGUGAAAUACCCGGGCUCAACCUGGGUGCUGCAUUUCAAACUGGAAGUCUAGAGUUCAGGAGAGGAGAGUGGAAUUCCUAGUGUAGCGGUGAAAUGCGUAUAGAUUAGGAAGAACACCAGGGGCGAAGGGGACUCUCUGGACUGUAACUGACGCUGAGGCUCGAAAGCGUGGGG